rnacentral:tRNA from 1 species
GAGGAUGUAGCUCAGUGGUAGAGUGCUUGCCUAGCACGUGUGAGGCUCUGGGUUCGAUCCUCAGCACCACA